CUCCUGCAAUGUCAUUCCCAAAGUUUACAAGAAAACCCAUUCAAGUAAAGUGAUCAUUGGUUGACUCAAUGAAAACAUGUAUGCACUGCAAGUUCAGAGCAAAGAUAUUGGGAAGACAAAUUAACUAUGGAUUAAAAACAACUUGCUUUGUAAGGAAGAAAAAUUGAUGAGCUCAAGCAAAAAGAGUUGCCAUAGGAGAGGAGCAUAUGGGAGUGCCAUGUAUGAGUUGUAAGAUUGUGCCUUUUUUUUUUUUCUAAUAAAUAGUUUGGGGG
rnacentral:lncRNA from 1 species